AGUGAGCGCUGGCGGCAGGCCUAACACAUGCAAGUCGAACGGCAGCACAGUAAGAGCUUGCUCUUACGGGUGGCGAGUGGCGGACGGGUCAGGAAUACAUCGGAAUCUACUUUUUCGUGGGGGAUAACGUAGGGACACUUACGCUAAUACCGCAUACGACCUACGGGUGAAAGCAGGGGAUCUUCGGACCUUGCGCGAUUGAAUGAGCCGAUGUCGGAUUAGCUAGUUGGCGGGGUAAAGGCCCACCAAGGCGACGAUCCGUAGCUGGUCUGAGAGGAUGAUCAGCCACACUGGAACUGAGAUACGGUCCAGACUCCUACGGGAGGCAGCAGUGGGGAAUAGUGGACAAUGGGCGCAAGCCUGAUCCAGCCAUACCGCGUGGGUGAAGAAGGCCUUCGGGUUGUAAAGCCCUUUUGUUGGGAAAGAAAAGCAGCAGGUUAAUACCCCGCUGUUCUGACGGUACCCAAAGAAUAAGCACCGGCUAACUUCGUG
rnacentral:rRNA from 1 species